GGAAAAGCGAGUGACCUUUUGUUCACUAUUAGGGAAAAGUGUGUAGACGGGGGAUCGCCCUAGCCAUGUCCUUGCAGUUUUGCCGUGCUUGUGAAACUGCAAAGAACAGAAACUGCUAUGCCCGCGUAUCUUGCGUUCCCCCCCCAACUAUGCCCUUGCAGUUUUGCCGUGCUUGUGAAACUGCAAAGAACAGAAACUGCUAUGCCCGCGUAUCUUGCGUUCCCCCCCAACUAUGCCCUUGCAGUUUUGCCGUGCUUGUGAAACUGCAAAGAACAGAAACUGCUAUGCCCGCGUGAUAAUAAAUGCUUGUAGAUAUUGCAGCGCCAAGGUUACGGAGAGAACACUGAAGAAGAAUAUCGUGAACCCUCGUCAACGACCACCAAGAAGCAAAAAAAAGGGGGAGCGGCCCCCGAGCAACAGGCUGAGCAAGCGCAAAAAGCACCGGAAGGAGAGUUCGCGGAAGGGGGGGCUCGACAGGGAGACGAGAACUUAAAAAGGAAAUUCGAGCCGCGAACGGUGUGACAGUUAAGGAGCACUGACUCCCCUGUCACCCAGCGCUGCAUCUUUGCUUUCUCUUUUCUGUACUAAUAAAUUGGAUAUAUAAUUGACCCAAUAGCCCAUUGUGCUCAUUUAUAACAACUUGGUGCCGUGACUCGGAUCGGGAAUUUGAGGGGAAUUCCUCGCCUAAGGGGGGGGGCGCCCCACCGACUCGGUGGCCCCCGGGCUUGGACUUCACCCCAAUCCCGACUGACGAUCCUAAAAUUAAAGAAAGGAGAAAGCAAAGGGGGAUUCGAGGGCCGGCGUACCCCUUUAAAAGCUUGUGCACAAGGUCCGGACGAAGACGCAGGACGCAUAUUGCAGCGCCAAGGUUACGGAGAGAACACUGAAGAAGAAUAUCGUGAACCCUCGUCAACGACCACCAAGAAGCAAAAAAAAGGAGGCGGCCCCCGAGCAACAGGCUGAGCAAGCGCAAAAAGCACCGGAAGGAGAGUUCGCGGAAGAGGGGCUCGACAGGGAGACGAGAACUUAAAAGGGAAAUUCGAGCCGCGAACGGUGUGACAGUUAAGGAGCACUGACUCCCCUGUCACCCAGCGCUGCAUCUUUGCUUUCUCUUUUCUGUACUAAUAAAUUGGAUAUAUAAUUGA